rnacentral:rRNA from 1 species
ACGCUGCGGCGGCUUACACAUGCAAGUCGAGGGGUAUUUAUCUUCGGAUAGAGAGACCGGCGCACGGGUGCGUAACGCGUAUGCAAUCUACCUUUUACAGAGGGAUAGCCCAGAGAAAUUUGGAUUAAUACCUCAUAGUAUUACGAAAUGGCAUCAUUUUGUAAUUAAAGUCACAACGGUAAAAGAUGAGCAUGCGUCCCAUUAGCUAGUUGGUAAGGUAACGGCUUACCAAGGCUACGAUGGGUAGGGGUCCUGAGAGGGAGAUCCCCCACACUGGUACUGAGACACGGACCAGACUCCUACGGGAGGCAGCAGUGAGGAAUAUUGGACAAUGGGCGCAAGCCUGAUCCAGCCAUGCCGCGUGCAGGAUGACGGUCCUAUGGAUUGUAAACUGCUUUUAUACGAGAAGAAACACUCCGACGUGUCGGAGCUUGACGGUAUCGUAAGAAUAAGGAUCGGCUAACUCCGUGCCAGCAGCCGCGGUAAU